rnacentral:rRNA from 1 species
GACGAACGCUGGCGGCGUGCUUAACACAUGCAAGUCGAGCGGUAAGGCCCUUUCGGGGGUACGACGAGCGGCGAACGGGUGAGUAACACGUGGGUGACCUGCCUUUAGCUCUGGGAUAAGCCUGGGAAACUGGGUCUAAUACCGGAUACGACUCCGCGGUGCAUGCUGUGGGGUGGAAAGCCUUGUGCGGCUGGAGAUGGGCCCGCGGCCUAUCAGCUUGUUGGUGGGGUGAUGGCCUACCAAGGCGACGACGGGUAGCCGGCCUGAGAGGGCGACCGGCCACACUGGGACUGAGACACGGCCCAGACUCCUACGGGAGGCAGCAGUGGGGAAUCUUGCGCAAUGGGCGAAAGCCUGACGCAGCGACGCCGCGUGAGGGAUGACGGCCUGG